AUUGAACGCUGGCGGUAUGCUUAACACAUGCAAGUCGAACGAUGAGAAAGAGCUUGCUCUUUCGAUUAGUGGCGGACGGGUGCGUAACGCGUAGGAAUCUACCUAUUAGUGGGGGACAACUUAGGGAAACUUAAGCUAAUACCGCAUACGCCCUACGGGGGAAAGGAGGGGAUCGCAAGACCUUUCGCUAAUAGAUGAGCCUGCGUAGGAUUAGCUAGUUGGUGGGGUAAAGGCUCACCAAGGCGACGAUCCUUAACUGGUUUGAGAGAAUGAUCGGUCAAACUGGAACUGAGAAACGGCCCAGACUCCUACGGGAGGCAGCAGUGGGGAAUAUUGGACAAUGGGCGAAAGCCUGAUCCAGCAAUACCGCGUGUGUGAAGAAGGCCUUAGGGUUGUAAAGCACUUUCAAUUGGAAGGAAAAAUUCGUGGCUAAUAUCCGCGAACUUGACAUUACCUUUAGAAGAAGCACCGGCUAACUCCGUGCCAGCAGCCGCCGUAA
rnacentral:rRNA from 1 species